rnacentral:lncRNA from 1 species
AUGAUAAAAAGCAUAUUUAUUGACCAAAAUGGCAUAUAUUUCUUAGUAUUCCUUUCCCCAAUGGAAUGAGCACAACAUGGUACUAAUACCACCAUUAAAAGAAAAAAAAACUAAAAGAAGACAUGCCAAUGUACAAGUUACAUCAUCAUUUAUGCAUUAUUUCUAACAAAUCUCAUAAAAUCUUCAAGGUUUGGAGGUGGUUGUGUUGGCGGUGGUGGAAAUGAAGCUUGUUCAUC